UACGAAGGGGGGCUAGCGUUGUUCGGAAUUACUGGGCGUAAAGCGAGUGUAGGUGGUUGUCCAAGUUGGAUGUGAAAGCCUUGAGCUCAACUCAAGAAAUGCAUUCAGGACUGGGUGACUAGAGGACCGGAGAGGAUAGUGGAAUUCCCAGUGUAGUGGUGAAAUACGUAGAGAUUGGGAAGAACACCAGUGGCGAAGGCGGCUAUCUGGACGGUUUCUGACACUAAGACUCGAAAGCGUGGGGAGCAAACAGG
rnacentral:rRNA from 1 species